AGAUUGAACGCUGGCGGCAUGCUUUACACAUGCAAGUCGAGCGGCAGCACGACGUGUAGCAACACACGUUGGUGGCGAGCGGCGAACGGGUGAGUAAUACAUCGGAACGUGUCCAGUAGUGGGGGAUAACCAGUCGAAAGAUUGGCUAAUACCGCAUACGAUCUACGGAUGAAAGCGGGGGACUCGCAAGGGCCUCGCGCUAUUGGAGCGGCCGAUGUCCGAUUAGCCUAGUUGGCGGGGUAACGGCCCACCAAGGCGACGAUCGGUAGCUGGUCUGGAGAGGAUGGAUCAGCCACACUGGAACUGAGACACGGUCCAGACUCCGUACGGGAGCAGCGAGGUGGGGUAAUUUUGGAACAAGUGGGCGCGAAGCCUGACUCCAGCCAUCGCCGCGUGAGUGAAGACGCCGUUGGU
rnacentral:rRNA from 1 species